rnacentral:rRNA from 1 species
AUUGAACGCUGGCGGUAUGCUUAACACAUGCAAGUCGAACGGUAGCAGGCCUUCGGGCGCUGACGAGUGGCGGACGGGUGAGUAACGCGUGGGAAUCUGCCUCAUAGUGGGGGACAACGUGGGGAAACUCACGCUAAUACCGCAUACGCCCUACGGGGGAAAGCGGGGGCUCUUCGGACCUCGCGCUAUGAGAUGAGCCUGCGUUAGAUUAGCUAGUUGGUAGGGUAAAAGCCUACCAAGGCGACGAUCUAUAGCUGGUCUGAGAGGACGAUCAGCCACACUGGGACUAGGACACGGCCCAGACUCCUACGGGAGGCAGCAGUGGGGAAUAUUGGACAAUGGGCGCAAGCCUGAUCCAGCAGUACCGCGUGUGUGAAGAAGGCCCUAGGGUUGUAAAGCACUUUCAAUUGGGAGGAAAACCUGCCGGUCAAUACCCGGCAGCUUGACAUUACCUUUAGAAGAAGCACCGGCUAUCUCCGUGCCAGCCGCCGCGGUAACAC